GAAGAAAUACCUAAGCGGUCAACAGGAACAGACUGUAAAUCUGCUGCGAAAGCUUCAGAGGUUCGAAUCCUCUUUUCUUCA
rnacentral:tRNA from 1 species